GAUGAACGCUGGCGGCGUGCUUAACACAUGCAAGUCGAACGGGAAUUACUUUAUUGAAACUUCGGUCGAUUUAAUUUAAUUCUAGUGGCGGACGGGUGAGUAACGCGUGGGUAACCUGCCUUAUACAGGGGGAUAACAGUCAGAAAUGACUGCUAAUACCGCAUAAGCGCACAGAGCUGCAUGGCUCAGUGUGAAAAACUCCGGUGGUAUAAGAUGGACCCGCGUUGGAUUAGCUAGUUGGUGGGGUAACGGCCCACUAAGGCGACGAUCCAUAGCCGGCCUGAGAGGGUGAACGGCCACAUUGGGGCUGAGACACGGCCCAGACUCCUACGGGAGGCAGCAGUGGGGAAUAUUGCACAAUGGGGGAAACCCUGAUGCAGCGACGCCGCGUGAAGGAAGAAGUAUCUCGGUAUGUAAACUUCUAUCAGCAGGGAAGAUAAUGACGGUACCUGACUAAGAAGCCCCGGCUAACUACGUGCCAGCCGCCGCGGUAA
rnacentral:rRNA from 1 species